GAUCAUUAAUUAAAACAUUCCAACUACAAACUGGCUCGGCCGGUCUUUCCUGCUGUAAUGGGGGAAAGGUUGUCCUUGUCAGGGAAUCCUUUACUGUGAAAUCUUUUUUGAAAUCUUUUUGAACCUUGCCGUAAUAGCGAGGCGAGAAAAGAUGCCCAAAAAAUUAUACUGAAUACCUAUUAGUCCUUAUAAAUGUUAUAAACAAUCAGGGUAAAAGCUGAUUAAAACAACUUUUAACAACGGAUCUCUAGGCUCUCGCAUCGAUGAAGAACGUAGCAAAUUGCGAUAACUAUUGUGAAUUGCAUUUCGUGAAUCAUCAAGUUUUUGAACGCAUCUUGCACUCUGUGGUAUUCCGCAGAGUACACUUGUUUCAGUAUCAUAUUAACCCAACGCCGGCCAAUACUUGUUAUUGACCUGGGCGGGACUUUUACGUCAUUGACGGGAACAGGGCAAAUUAGUUUUUGCUUAACCCGUUUAAAUACUAUUUCUUCUUUGGCCGACAAUAAGUGGGGUUCACUGACAGAUAUAAAAUCAUUAGCGGGUGCUUUUAUUAGCCUAUUUUAUAUUCUGGCCUUCGAUUCUCUCAUGGUUUUUGGCGUGUCCAUUGAACGAAACACAUUUUUUGAUCUGAAAUCAAGUGGGAUUACCCGCUGAACCUAAGCAUAU
rnacentral:misc_RNA from 1 species